rnacentral:tRNA from 1 species
UCAGAAUGCAGCUCAGUGGUAGAGCACUUGCCUACCAUGCUUGAGGCCCUGGGUUUCUAUCCCCAGCAUUGAA